rnacentral:rRNA from 1 species
CCCUUAGAUGUUCUGGGCAGCACGCGCGCUACAAUGGUCUUCGCAAACGGAUGCAUUCUCGAAGGAGAAUGCCAAUCUUGGAAUCUAUGCCUUGGUCGGGACAGUUGCUUGCAAUUUUUCGACUCGAACCAGGAAUUCCUAGUAGACGUAGUUCAUCAGACUGCAUCGAUUACGUCCCUGCCCUUUGUACACACCGCCCGUCGCUCCUACCGAUUGAAUGCUCAGGUGAGCCAUUCGGACUUUCAUCAUGCUGGUUUCCAGUUUUGAUGAAGGAAAGUCUUGCGAACCUUAUCAUUUAGAGGAAGGAGAAGUCGUAACA